rnacentral:sRNA from 1 species
AACUAGCCCUGAUGGGAAUGGCAUCCCGAAGCUUCGGGAUAUAAUGGACAGCAGGAAAAUGG